AAGAUGCUAAUACCGGAUAAUAANAAGAUGAUGCCUAUCAACUGUUUAAAAGAUGGUUCUGCUAUCACUCUUGGAUGGACCUGCGGUGCAUUAGCUAGUUGGUAGGGUAACGGCCUACCAAGGCGAUGAUGCAUAGCCGAGUUGAGAGACUGAUCGGCCACAUUGGGACUGAGACACGGCCCAAACUCCUACGGGAGGCAGCAGGG
rnacentral:rRNA from 1 species